AUUUGCACGCAGGCCAGGUAGCCUAUUGUCCUAUGUGUAAUCAGGUGUGCAUCCUUACUCAACAUUUGCACGCAGGCCAGGUAGCCUAUUGUCCUAUGUGUAAUCAGGUGUGCAUCCUUACUCAACAUUUGCACGCAGGCCAGGUAGCCUAUUGUCCUAUGUGUAAUCAGGUGUGCAUCCUUACUCAACAUUUGCACGCAGGCCAGGUAGCCUAUUGUCCUAUGUGUAAUCAGGUGUGCAUCCUUACUCAACAUUUGCACGCAGGCCAGGUAGCCUAUUGUCCUAUGUGUAAUCAGGUGUGCAUCCUUACUCAACAUUUGCACGCAGGCCAGGUAGCCUAUUGUCCUAUGUGUAAUCAGGUGUGCAUCCUUACUCAACAUUUGCACGCAGGCCAGGUAGCCUAUUGUCCUAUGUGUAAUCAGGUGUGCAUCCUUACUCAACAUUUGCACGCAGGCCAGGUAGCCUAUUGUCCUAUGUGUAAUCAGGUGUGCAUCCUUACUCAACAUUUGCACGCAGGCCAGGUAGCCUAUUGUCCUAUGUGUAAUCAGG